CAUGUAUCUCUGCUGUUUCAUCUCUGAACAUAUCUUCUUUCCGUCCACAGGUAUUCCGGUCACAUCCCCUUGUGAAGCAUCCUGAUAUCAGGCUGGUUCACAUGACCGUUAAAAUCAAGUCCAACACUGGAUCCAUGACUGGCUCUGAAGGGCUUUACACAAGAUUCCCCCAGUAACUUGUUAACAAGAUGCAUCCCAUGACUGAAACAAACCCAUGGACUGCGACAAGGUUGGAGGCAAUCCCUCUUGCAGAUUAGCUGGCUUGCUUCAAUAGGAAGAAAAGAAUGGAGCGGUUUCAUCACUUAAUGAUAGUUUUCACAUUUCCUAGUUUUCGUUCACUACAAUCUUGUCCAGCAGAUGGCAACAGAGGGAGUUGUCUUUGUCAGAUUCCAAGCUGGCUCCAGAAAAUACCAUCUCAUAAGAUGGACCAAAGUUCUUACUACACUCUUAAGGCAUACCUUCUUCUUCUUCUCUCUUUUUAGGAGGCGGUAUCAAUGUUAUU